ACGUCAUUUCGGUCCCGCGUCAUUUCGGACUCAGCACAAACGUCGUUUCGGACUCAGUAUGGCGACUUUUCGGACUUACUCGGUGUCAUUUCGGACUCAGUCAAACGACAUUUAGGACUCGGACCGGCGACAUUUCGGACUCGGACUCGGACUCAAAUAAAACUUAAAAUUAUGUGUGUAUAUAUUAGUAAUAGCUGUUUUUCUUUCGUUGUAGGUGAGGCUCAAGACAGACCAUUCACAUUAAUAAAGAUUUAAACAUUGUUAGUCUUGUUUUAUUUAUCCCAUACAGGCCAUUACUUGACAACACGCCUUUGAACUUGAACUUGAAGUAAAACCUAUGCUACUUGCCUUUUUUGUAUUUGUUUAUUUACUUGAUCGGAUAUUAUUGUAUUUUGAUGAGUAAAUUUUGAUUGUUGACGAUGAAUUAGUUUAGAUUGUUGACGAUAAUCGAUCCGCGAUUGUUGUUUUAAUCUAGCGAUUAGUGAAUCCAGCGAUUAGUGAAACCAUCCCAUUGUUGUAUUUAAGAUUAAUAGCGAUAAUUGAUCGGCGUUUCUAAUAGCCGCUAAGAAAUGAUUGAGAAAUAAAAACACUGAUCGGCGUUUCUAAUAGCCGCUAAGAAAUGAUUGAGAAAUAAUGAAGCCGUUAAGAAAUGAUUGAGCCCAAGCUCAAAUGUAUUAUAUAUAUGUGCCAUAUUUCAAUUCAAAUCAUUCUCAAUUUUUACACGAAUCUAUCAUGGCUAGUGGAAAUUGCGUAAAGUGUACCAAUCCUGUCCGUCCUCGACAAGAAGGCCUCCAGUGCGAUUCUUGUCUUUUAUGGCAACAUCGAACCUGCGAUUCCGGUACGUAAUGAAAUUUUCUUUAUUGUUAUUUAUUAAAACGUUUUAAAUUUGUCGUUUCUUGUAAGUUAUUGUUAUUUAUUAAAACGUUUUAAAUUUGUCGUUUCUUGUAAGUUAUUGUUAUUUAUUAAAACGUUUUAAAUUUGUCGUUUCUUGUAAGUUAUUGUUAUUUAUUGAAACGUUAUAAAUUUGUCGUUUCAGCUUGUAAGUUAUUGUUAUUUAUUGAAACGUUAUAAAUUUGUCGUUAUUGUUAUUUAUUGACACGUACCCGCAAUCCGGGAAUAUUAUUAUUUUAUUUAUCACUAUUUCAGGCAUCACUCGGGAUGAGUACAGGAGUUUAAACCGACAUAGAACUGCUUUUGAAUGGAAAUGCUGUAGAUGUGUUGCCCCGCUCCCCCCUACAGAAGAAGAAAUGGACAUCGAAGAAUCAUUCACCAUUGAACGACCAUACCAGCUACCUGAUCCGGUUAUCGAGUCUUCAAUGUCUGAAGAUGAGCAAGAUAUUAGCGUAUUUGCUGAAGAAGAACCUGAAUUAGCAUACACUAUAGAAGAGGCAGCAACAACACGUGGGAAAAAGAAGCUGUUUGACAACAUUGGUUUUGCUUAUACGAUAAAGACGGACAAGAAAACGACCGUAUGGAGGUGCUGCAAGAGAAAUGGUUCCCUGACUUGUCCUGCAACGGUGAUUCAGGAUGGUACCGACUUCAAGAAAGGUUUGAAAGAGCAUAUUCACCCAGCAGAACCUGGUAUAUUGACUGCUGCUAAAAUUAAAGUAACGGCUAAGAAGGAAGCCAUAGGAAAUAUUUUUACAAGAUCCUGUCCAUCAAUCGCAGAGAGUGUCAUGGCAAGUGUAGGAUCGGUCAACGAACCAGUGUAUAGCAGACCACCUCUUGCAGCAUUGAUAAGGUCGGUGCAGCGAACCAGACAGACUCUCCGACCAAAUGACCCAGUAGACAUGUCUUCCCCUCUGGAUGAAGACUUUAUUGACAGCAACGCUCCCGGCUUCUACCAGAAGCGGGUUAAAGUAGGGGAAAGGCGACAUCACAUCUUUGCCACUGAAGAUCAACUGCGACUUUUGGCAAAGGCUAAAACGUGGUACAUG